rnacentral:rRNA from 1 species
CCUACGGGUGGCAGCAGUGAGGAAUAUUGGUCAAUGGCCGGAAGGCUGAACCAGCCAUGCCGCGUGAAGGUCAGUGCCCUAUGGGCGUUAAACUUCUUUUGUGCGGGAGCAAUAAUGGUCACGUGUGGCCAGACGAGAGUACCGUACGAAUAAGCAUCGGCUAACUCCGUGCCAGCAGCCGCGGUAAUACGGGGGAGGCAAGCGUUAUCCGGAUUUAUUGGGUUGAAAGGGUGCGUAGGCUGUGAGGUAAGUCAGCGGUGAAAUGCCCUCGCUCAACGGGGUGAAGUGCCAUUGAUACUGUCUGGCUGGAAUGCGGAUGCGGUGAGAGGAAUGUGUGGUGUAGCGGUGAAAUGCAUAGAUAUCACACAGAACACCGAUUGCGAAGGCAUCUCACGAAUCCGCGAUUGACGCUGAUGCACGAAAGCGUGGGUAUCAAACAGGAUUAGAUACCCCAGUAGUC